rnacentral:snRNA from 1 species
UGUUCACCCACCAAUAGGG